rnacentral:rRNA from 1 species
CCGUAACUUAGGGAUAAGGGGUGCCACCCGCAGGUGGCCGCAGAGAAUAGGCCCAAGCGACUGUUGACCAAAAACAUAGGUGUCUGCUAAGUCGAAAGACGAUGUAUAGGAGCUGACGCCUGCCCGGGGCUGGAAGGUUAAGGGGAUCUGUUAGAGCAAUCGAAGCAGGGAACUUAAGCCCCAGUAAACGGCGGCCGUAACUAUAACGGUCCUAAGGUAGCGAAAUUCCUUGUCGGGUAAGUUCCGACCCGCACGAAAGGCGUAACGAUUUGGGCACUGUCUCAACAACAGACUCGGUGAAAUUGUAAUUCCGGUGAAGAUGCCGGAUACCUGCGACAGGACGGAAAGACCCCAUGGAGCUUUACUGUAGCUUGACAUUGGGUCUUGGUACUACAUGUACAGGAUAGGUGGGAGGCUUUGA